rnacentral:rRNA from 1 species
CACAAGCGGUGGAGCAUGUGGUUAAUUCGACGCAACGCGAAGAACCUUACCAGGGCUUGACAUCCCCUGACCGCGUAUGAAAGUACGUUUUCACCCUCGGGUGACAGGGAGACAGGUGGUGCAUGGUUGUCGUCAGCUCGUGUCGUGAGAUGUUGGGUUAAGUCCCGCAACGAGCGCAACCCCUACGUUUAGUUGCUAACAGGUGAAGCUGAGCACUCUAGACGAACUGCCGUUGACAAAACGGAGGAAGGUGGGGAUGACGUCAAAUCAUCAUGCCCCUUAUGUUCUGGGCUACACACGUGCUACAAUGGCCGGUACAGACGGAGGCGAAGCCGCGAGGCGGAGCAAAUCCGAAAAAGCCGGUCUCAGUUCGGAUUGCAGGCUGCAAUUCGCCUGCAUGAAGUCGGAAUCGCUAGUAAUCGCAGGUCAGCAUACUGCGGUGAAUACGUUCCCGGGCCUU